rnacentral:rRNA from 1 species
UACGUAGGGGGCAAGCGUUGUCCGGAUUUAUUGGGCGUAAAGAGCGUGUAGGCGGCCAUACAGGUCAGCUGUGAAAACUCGAGGCUCAACCUCGAGACGUCGGUGGAAACCGUAUGGCUAGAGUCCGGAAGAGGAGAGUGGAAUUCCUGGUGUAGCGGUGAAAUGCGCAGAUAUCAGGAAGAACACCCGUGGCGAAGGCGGCUCUCUGGGACGGUACUGACGCUGAGACGCGAAAGCGUGGGGAGCGAACAGG